AUUGAACGCUGGCGGCAGGCUUAACACAUGCAAGUCGAGCGGGGGAAGGUAGCUUGCUACCGGACCUAGCGGCGGACGGGUGAGUAAUGCUUAGGAAUCUGCCUAUUAGUGGGGGACAACAUCUCGAAAGGGAUGCUAAUACCGCAUACGUCCUACGGGAGAAAGCAGGGGAUGUUCGGACCUUGCGCUAAUAGAUGAGCCUAAGUCGGAUUAGCUAGUUGGUGGGGUAAAGGUCUACCAAGGCGACGAUCUGUAGCGGGUCUGAGAGGAUGAUCCGCCACACUGGGACUGAGACACGGCCCAGACUCCUACGGGAGGCAGCAGUGGGGAAUAUUGGACAAUGGGGGGAACCCUGAUCCAGCCAUGCCGCGUGUGUGAAGAAGGCCUUAUGGUUGUAAAGCACUUUAAGCGAGGAGGAGGCUACUUUAGUUAAUACCUAGAGAUAGUGGACGUUACUCGCAGAAUAAGCACCGGCUAACUCUGUGCCAGCAGCCGCGGUAA
rnacentral:rRNA from 1 species